CUCCACGGUGGUGCAGUUAGUAGCACUGUUGCCUUGCAACAAGAAGGCCCUGGGUUCAAUUCCCAUCUGGGGGU